rnacentral:tRNA from 1 species
GGCGCUGUGGCUGAGCUGUAAAGCGCUUGGCUUCUGAACCAGAGGUCCCAGGUUCUAAUCCUGGUGAAGACU